UCCUACGGGAGGCAGCAGUAGGGAAUCUUCCGCAAUGGACGAAAGUCUGACGGAGCAACGCCGCGUGAGUGAUGAAGGCUUUCGGGUCGUAAAACUCUGUUGUUAGGGAAGAACAAGUGCUAGUUGAAUAAGCUGGCACCUUGACGGUACCUAACCAGAAAGCCACGGCUAACUACGUGCCAGCAGCCGCGGUAAUACGUAGGUGGCAAGCGUUAUCCGGAAUUAUUGGGCGUAAAGCGCGCGCAGGUGGUUUCUUAAGUCUGAUGUGAAAGCCCACGGCUCAACCGUGGAGGGUCAUUGGAAACUGGGAGACUUGAGUGCAGAAGAGGAAAGUGGAAUUCCAUGUGUAGCGGUGAAAUGCGUAGAGAUAUGGAGGAACACCAGUGGCGAAGGCGACUUUCUGGUCUGUAACUGACGCUGAGGCUCGAAAGCGUGGGGAGCAAACAGGAUUAGAUACCCUGGUAGUCCACGCCGUAAACGAUGAGUGCUAGGUGUUAGGCCCUUUCCGGGGCUUAGUGCCGGAGCUAACGCAUUAAGCACUCCGCCUGGGGAGUACGACCGCAAGGUUGAAACUCAAAGG
rnacentral:rRNA from 1 species